rnacentral:rRNA from 1 species
GUUUGAUCCUGGCUCAGGAUGAACGCUGGCGGCGUGCCUAACACAUGCAAGUCGAGCGAUGACGAUUGGAACGCGACCUUCGGGUCAAGUGAAGAUAAGAUUAGCGGCGGACGGGUGAGUAACACGUGAGGAACCUGCCUCUUGCGAGGGGAUAGCCUCGGGAAACCGGGAUUAAUACCCUAUGAAACAUCAUGAUCGCAUGAUCGAGAUGUCAAAUAUUUAUCGGCAAGAGAUGGCCUCGCGUCCCAUUAGCUAGUUGGUGGAGUAAUAGCCUACCAAGGCAAUGACGGGUAGGGGACCUGAGAGGGUGGCCCCCCACAAUGGAACUGAAACACGGUCCAUACACCUACGGGUGGCAGCAGUAGGGAAUAUUAGAAAUGGGCGAAAGCCUGAUCUAGCAACACCGCGUGUGCGAUGAAGGCCUUCGGGUUGUAAAGCACUUUUUGGAGGGAAUAGGAAGGAAGGUACCUCCAGAAUAAGUCUCGGCUAACUACGUGCCAGCAGCCGCGGUAACACGUAGGAGGCAAACGUUAUCCGGAUUCACUGGGCGUAAAGCGCGUGUAGGUGGUUCUGUAAGUAGGGCGUGAAAGCUCCCGGCUCAACUGGGAGAGGCCGUACUAAACUGCAGAGCUAGAGGAUGGUAGAGGGAGGUGGAAUUCCAGGUGUAGUGGUGAAAUGCGCAGAUAUCUGGAGGAACACCAGUGGCGAAGGCGGCCUCCUGGACCAUUCCUGACACUCAGACGCGAAAGCUAGGGUAGCAAACGGAAUUAGAGACUCCGGUAGUCCUAGCCCUAAACGAUGCAGACUAGGCGUCGGCGGUUUAAUCACCGUCGGUGUCCAAGCUAACGCGAUAAGUCUGCCGCCUGAGGACUACGGCCGCAAGGCUAAAACUCAAAGGAAUUGACGGGUCCCCGCACAAGCAGCGGAGCGUGUGGUUUAAUUCGAUGCUCCGCGAAGAACCUUACCUGGGUUUGACAUAACAGUGGUAGAGAAGUGAAAACGGAUCGACCCUUCGGGGAGCUGUUACAGGUGUUGCAUGCCUGUCGUCAGCUCGUGUCGUGAGAUGUUCGGUUAAGUCCGCUAACGAGCGCAACCCGCGCUGUGUGUUACAAGUGUCACACAGUACCGCCGGUAUUAAGUCGGAGGAAGGUGCGGAUGACGUCAAGUCAGCAUGACCUUUAUAUCCAGGGCUACACACACGCUACAAUGGUCAGAACAAUAGGUUGCCAAGCCGCAAGGCGGAGCCAAUCCUCCAAAUCUGGCCUCAGUUCAGAUUGCAGGCUGCAACUCGCCUGCAUGAAGUCGGAGUUGCUAGUAACCGCAGGUCAGCAUACUGCGGUGAAUACGUUCCCGGGGAUUGUACACACCGCCCGUCA